AGAGCGAACGCUGGCGGCAGGCCUAACACAUGCAAGUCGAGCGCCCGUAGCAAUACGGGAGCGGCAGACGGGAUAGUAACACGUGGGAACGCGCCCUUCGGUUCGGAAUAACUCAGGGAAACUUGAGCUAAUACCGGAUACGCCCUUACGGGGAAAGAUUUAUUGCCGAAGGAACGGCCCGCGUCCGAUUAGCUAGUUGGUGAGGUAAUGGCUCACCAAGGCGACGAUCGGUAGCUGGUCUGAGAGGAUGACCAGCAUCACUGGGACUGAGACACGGCCCAGACUCCUACGGGAGGCAGCAGUGGGGAAUAUUGGACAAUGGGCGCAAGCCUGAUCCAGCCAUGCCGCGUGGAUGAUGAAGGCCUUAGGGUUGUAAAGUCCUUUAACGGGGAAGAUAAUGACGGUACCGUAGAAUAAGCCCCGGCUAACUUCGUGCCAGCAGCCGC
rnacentral:rRNA from 1 species